CCUACGGGGGGCUGCAGUGGGGAAUAUUGGACAAUGGGGGGAACCCUGAUCCAGCCAUGCCGCGUGUGUGAAGAAGGCCCUCGGGUUGUAAAGCACUUUCAGUGAGGAAGAACGCCUGGUGGUUAAUACCCAUCAGGAAAGACAUCACUCACAGAAGAAGCACCGGCUAACUCCGUGCCAGCAGCCGCGGUAAUACGGAGGGUGCGAGCGUUAAUCGGAAUUACUGUGCGUAAAGCGCGCGUAGGUGGCUUGAUAAGCCGGUUGUGAAAGCCCCGGGCUCAACCUGGGAACGGCAUCCGGAACUGUCAAGCUAGAGUGCAGGAGAGGAAGGUAGAAUUCCCGGUGUAGCGGUGAAAUGCGUAGAGAUCGGGAGGAAUACCAGUGGCGAAGGCGGCCUUCUGGACUGACACUGACACUGAGGUGCGAAAGCGUGGGUAGCAAACAGGAUUAGAUACCCGAGUAGUC
rnacentral:rRNA from 1 species